GGUGCGCGUGCUAUAAUGCAGUCGAGCGACAGACGAGGAGCUUGCUCCUCUGACGUUAGCGGCGGACGGGUGAGUAACACGUGGAUAACCUACCUAUAAGACUGGGAUAACUUCGGGAAACCGGAGCUAAUACCGGAUAAUAUAUUGAACCGCAUGGUUCAAUAGUGAAAGACGGUUUUGCUGUCACUUAUAGAUGGAUCCGCGCCGCAUUAGCUAGUUGGUAAGGUAACGGCUUACCAAGGCAACGAUGCGUAGCCGACCUGAGAGGGUGAUCGGCCACACUGGAACUGAGACACGGUCCAGACUCCUACGGGAGGCAGCAGUAGGGAAUCUUCCGCAAUGGGCGAAAGCCUGACGGAGCAACGCCGCGUGAGUGAUGAAGGUCUUCGGAUCGUAAAACUCUGUUAUUAGGGAAGAACAAAUGUGUAAGUAACUAUGCACGUCUUGACGGUACCUAAUCAGAAAGCCACGGCUAACUACGUGCCAGCAGCCGCGGUAAUACGUAGGUGGCAAGCGUUAUCCGGAAUUAUUGGGCGUAAAGCGCGCGUAGGCGGUUUUUUAAGUCUGAUGUGAAAGCCCACGGCUCAACCGUGGAGGGUCAUUGGAAACUGGAAAACUUGAGUGCAGAAGAGGAAAGUGGAAUUCCAUGUGUAGCGGUGAAAUGCGCAGAGAUAUGGAGGAACACCAGUGGCGAAGGCGACUUUCUGGUCUGUAACUGACGCUGAUGUGCGAAAGCGUGGGGAUCAAACAGGAUUAGAUACCCUGGUAGUCCACGCCGUAAACGAUGAGUGCUAAGUGUUAGGGGGUUUCCGCCCCUUAGUGCUGCAGCUAACGCAUUAAGCACUCCGCCUGGGGAGUACGACCGCAAGGUUGAAACUCAAAGGAAUUGACGGGGACCCGCACAAGCGGUGGAACAUGUGGUUUAAUUCGAAGCAACGCGAAGAACCUUACCAAAUCUUGACAUCCUCUGACCCCUCUAAAGAAAAAAUUUUCCCCUUCGGGGGAACAAAUGACAGGGGGGGC
rnacentral:rRNA from 1 species